rnacentral:rRNA from 1 species
AGUGAACGCUGGCGGUAGGCCUAACACAUGCAAGUCGAACGGCAGCACAGGAGAGCUUGCUCUCUGGGUGGCGAGUGGCGGACGGGUGAGGAAUACAUCGGAAUCUACUCUGUCGUGGGGGAUAACGUAGGGAAACUUACGCUAAUACCGCAUACGACCUACGGGUGAAAGCAGGGGAUCUUCGGACCUUGCGCGAUUGAAUGAGCCGAUGUCGGAUUAGCUAGUUGGCGGGGUAAAGGCCCGCCAAGGCGACGAUCCGUAGCUGGUCUGGGAGGAUGAUCAGCCAAACUGGAACUGAGACACGGUCCAGACUCCUACGGGAGGCAGCAGUGGGGAAUAUUGGACAAUGGGCGCAAGCCUGAUCCAGCCAUACCGCGUGGGUGAAGAAGGCCUUCGGGUUGUAAAGCCCUUUUGUUGGGAAAGAAAUCCAGCUGGCUAAUACCCGGUUGGGAUGACGGUACCCAAAGAAUAAGCACCGGCUAACUUCGUGCCAGCAGCCGCCGUAA